rnacentral:rRNA from 1 species
AUUGAACGCUGGCGGCAUGCUUUACACAUGCAAGUCGAACGGUAACAGGUUAAGCCGACGAGUGGCGAACGGGUGAGUAAUGCAUCGGAACGUGCCCGAUCGUGGGGGAUAACGCAGCGAAAGCUGCGCUAAUACCGCAUACGAUCUGAGGAUGAAAGCGGGGGACCGUAAGGACUCGCGCGAUAGGAGCGGCCGAUGUCAGAUUAGGUAGUUGGUGGGGUAAAGGCUCACCAAGCCAACGAUCUGUAGCUGGUCUGAGAGGACGACCAGCCACACUGGGACUGAGACACGGCCCAGACUCCUACGGGAGGCAGCAGUGGGGAAUUUUGGACAAUGGGCGAAAGCCUGAUCCAGCAAUGCCGCGUGCAGGAAGAAGGCCUUCGGGUUGUAAACUGCUUUUGUACGGAGCGAAAAAGCUCUCUCUAAUACAGGGGGCUCAUGACGGUACCGUAAGAAUAAGCACCGGCUAACUACGUGCCAGCAGCCGCGGUAA